UACAGAGGGUGCAAGCGUUGUUCGGAAUUACUGGGCGUAAAGGGCGCGUAGGCGGUUGGAUAAGUCAGCUGUGAAAACCACGGGCUUAACUCGUGGCCUGCAGUUGAGACUGUCUGGCUUGAGUGUGGGAGAGGAGAGUGGAAUUCCUGGUGUAGCGGUGAAAUGCGUAGAUAUCAGGAGGAACACCGGUGGCGAAGGCGGCUCUCUGGACCACAACUGACGCUGAGGCGCGAAAGCUAGGGGAGCAAACGGG
rnacentral:rRNA from 1 species